rnacentral:rRNA from 1 species
UGUUACUUAUAAGUAAUAAAUUUUGGAAUAGUAAUAAUAAAUGAAAUUUAACGGAUUUGGCGGCAAGAUAGCCAUUUAGAGGAACCUGCCCUAUAAACGAUGAACCACGAAUUUACUCUACUUUUGUUUGAAAUCAGUUUGUAUACCGCUGUUGUCAGUUAGUUUCUUUAGAAAACUUUCGUACAUGGGAAAGUCAUGGACUUCAAGUAAAGGUGCAGCUUAUACAAAAGAUAGAGGUGGGUUACAUUUAUAAGAAUAAAACGGAUAAAGUGAUUGAAACAACUUUUGAAGGUGGAUUUAAUUGUAAAGUUUAAUAAAACUUGAUGAGAGCUCUGUCUUGUG